rnacentral:lncRNA from 1 species
GGAGAACCACCCAUUGCCACUGAAAAAGUGAGGAUGUAGGAGCCAAAAAAAAAGUCUGAGACCAGCCCUGCCACUUACUAGCAGGUCCCGUCAGUUUGGGCUUCUGUUUCUCACCAAUGAAAUGAAUAGGAGAAGUUCAGCUCUCAGAUCUUGCAACUCUGAGAGUCCUUUUCCCAGCUUCAGCUACCUUUCUCCUACCAAACGUGACUGGAUAGUCCUAGGACAUAUAUAAUGUAUCAUUAUAUAUGAUACUGUGGCUUUAGGGUUUAGAAUUUAUUUGAGAUGGUCUAUGGCAAUUCAUUCAUUUUACUCAUUGGAAACUGAGCCUCAGAGAGACAGAGGCAUUUGUUCAAGGUUACACUUUACAACCAGCUUGAGAAUCUGUGGGUUCUCCUGUGACCACUCACAUAGACCCUAAGAUUCCUUGGUCACAAUUUGCCAUAUGGUUGUGUGAGAACCUGUGACCCCUCACUUAGACCCUUGGAGUCCUUGAUCAUAAUUUGCCAUAGGAAGGUGCAGAAUGGUGGAUAUGGUGGGGUGGCCCUCAACAUCCACUCCAACCACCCUUCAAUCUGCCUUUCAGUACUGUAGAGGCUAGAAAGAGUAGAAUACAUGCUGUAUUAUCUCAUUAAUAUAAAGUUCAAGAGCAGGCAAAACUAAUUUAUGGUGACAAAAAUCUAGACAGUGGUUAUUGGGUAUGUGAGGGAGGUGAUGUUUGACUGCAAACAAGCAAAAAGAAACUUUCUGGGUGGUUGCAAACCCUGAUCUACAUAGUAAAAGGCAACAUUGACUUGCAGCUCCUGAGCCUGCCCCAACCAUGAAGAAUGUGGGCAUCUUGGUGAUCAAGACAACUGAUGAGAUCAUAGCUGACUGCCAGGGCAGAGGCGUGGCGAUUCCCACACCCACCGUGGAUGUCACAUCUACACAGUGUUCACAUUUCCCUUGCUGGUGCUGCUGGUGUUCCUCCAGAGCCUCUGUGCGCUGCCUACUUUCUAGAUGCUGAACAAAGUCUUCACGCUGGGAAGCCUCGUCCUCAUCCUCCAGCAUCUCCUCCAGGUUCCCUGGCCAUCCUCAUCCCCCAUCUGGGCAUGGUCCUUACCCAGAUGAGCUUGGUGAGCAGCAGCACCCUGCCCCUCAUCAUCCUGUGCCUCCUGGAGAUGACUACCUACUACUCAGAGUGCAUGAGCUCCCUCAUCAUCACCAAGGACGCCCUGAUCAGCAUCCUGGGCUUUGUGGGAUUUUUGGUGGGGACCUUCUAGGCCCUCCAUGAGCUGAUCCAGCCUCAAGACCUCUCCUCUUUCCAAACUCCACUGGCACCUUGAAACAGUGACCAAUUUUCAACUCAACAUUUCCCGCUUCACUUCCUAAACUGACAUUCUAGCAUUGUUUGAACAAAGAUCCUUCUUUAAUUGCUAA